rnacentral:rRNA from 1 species
GUGCCAGCAGCCGCGGUAAUACGUAGGGGGCAAGCGUUGUCCGGAAUUACUGGGCGUAAAGAGCACGUAGGCGGUCUUUUAAGUCAGAUGUGAAAUAUGCCGGCUCAACCGGCAGGGUGCAUUUGAUACUGGGAGACUAGAGUGCAGGAGAGGAAAGUGGAAUUCCUAGUGUAGCGGUGAAAUGCGUAGAUAUUAGGAGGAACACCAGUGGCGAAGGCGGCUUUCUGGACUGUAACUGACGCUGAGGUGC